GUUGUAUGGUCAAGUAAUGAAGUGCACAUGGUGGAUGCCUUGGCAGUCAGAGGCGAUGAAAGACGUGAUAGCCUGCGAUAAGCGUCGGUGAGGUGGCAAUAUCCUGUGACCCGGCGAUUUCUGAAUGGGGAAACCCAACCAACAUAAGUUGGUUAUUACACAGUUUACUGUGUAAGGCAAACCGGGAGAAGUGAAACAUCUCAGUACCCCGAGGAAAAGACAUCAAAUGAGAUUCCGUAAGUAGCGGCGAGCGAACACGGAGGAGCCGAUCAAUUUUACAGUAGCAAAAUGGCGUGGGAAAGCCAACCAUAGUAGGUGAUAGUCCUGUAUGCGAAACUGUUUAAGCGACAUAUUAAGUAGGGCGGAACACGAGAAAUUCUGUCUGAAGAUGGGGGGACCAUCCUCCAAGGCUAAAUACUCCUGACUGACCGAUAGUGAACCAGUACCGUGAGGGAAAGGCGAAAAGAACCCCUGUUAGGGGAGUGAAAUAGAACCUGAAACCGUGUGCAUACAAGCAGUCGGAGCCCGACCACUUAAUCGUUUUGAGGAUAACAAUGAAUUUUUACUACGUCUAUGUCAUACAAAACGUGGAUAAUCAUGAUGAGUUUUAUGUUGGCUUUACCACCAAUUUAAAACAAAGAAUUGAUGACCAUAAUAAUGGCACAACUUACUCAACCAGAGCAAGAACAUGGCGUAUUGUUUAUUGUGAAGCCUACAUUAAUGAACAAGUGGCAAGAAAACGAGAGCGAACCAUAAAAAAUAAUGGUCGUAUGAGAACUUUCUUGAUGAAUCGUGUCAAAUCACAAUUUGACAAUCAGAACGAUUAAGUGGUCGGGUGACGGCGUACCUUUUGUAUAAUGGGUCAGCGACUUAUAUUCUGUAGCAAGGUUAACCGAAUAGGGGAGCCGUAGGGAAACCGAGUCUUAAUAGGGCGAUUAAGUUGCAGGGUAUAGACCCGAAACCGAGUGAUCUAUCCAUGAGCAGGUUGAAAGUGCCGUAACAGGCACCGGAGGACCGAACCCACUGUCGUUGAAAAGCCAGGGGAUGACUUGUGGAUAGGGGUGAAAGGCUAAUCAAACUCGGUGAUAGCUGGUUCUCCCCGAAAGCUAUUUAGGUAGCGCCUCGGACGAAUACCAUUGGGGGUAGAGCACUGUUUCGGCUAGGGGGUCACACCGACUUACCAAACCGAUGCAAACUCCGAAUACCGAUGAGUAAUAUCCGGGAGACAGACGGCGGGUGCUAACGUCCGUCGUCAAGAGGGAAACAACCCAGACCGCCAGCUAAGGCCCCAAAUUCCUAGUUAAGUGGGAAACGAUGUGGGAAGGCACAGACAGCUAGGAGGUUGGCUUAGAAGCAGCCACCCUUUAAAGAAAGCGUAAUAGCUCACUAGUCGAGUCGGCCUGCGCGGAAGAUGUAACGGGGCUCAAACUAGGAGCCGAAGCUGCGGAUUUAAUUGUUUCAAUUAAGUGGUAGGGGAGCGUUGUGUAAGCCUGUGAAGGUGCACUGUAAGGUGUGCUGGAGGUAUCACAAGAGCGAAUGCUGACGUGAGUAACGACAAAACGGGUGAAAAGCCCGUUCGCCGGAAGACCAAGGGUUCCAGUCCAACGUUAAUCGGGGCUGGGUGAGUCGACCCCUAAGGCGAGGCCGAAAGGCGUAGUCGAUGGGAAAUCGGUUAAUAUUCCGAUACUUGUUUAUGAUGCGAUGGAGGGACGGAGAAGGUUAUGCCAGCCUGGCGAUGGUUGUCCAGGUGGAAGGAUGUAGUUAGACUGAGUAGGCAAAUCCGCUCGGUUAUUAAUGAGAUCUGAUAGCAAGCCAGUUUACUGGCAAAG
rnacentral:rRNA from 1 species